GAUGAACGCUGGCGGCGUGCCUAAUACAUGCAAGUCGAGCGAACAGAUAAGGAGCUUGCUCCUUUGACGUUAGCGGCGGACGGGUGAGUAACACGUGGAUAACCUACCCAUAAGACUGGGAUAACUUCGGGAAACCGGAGCUAAUACCGGAUAACAUAUUGAACCGCAUGGUUCAAUAGUGAAAGGCGGCUUUGCUGUCACUUAUAGAUGGAUCCACGCCGUAUUAGCUAGUUGGUAAGGUAACGGCUUACCAAGGCAACGAUACGUAGCCGACCUGAGAGGGUGAUCGGACACACUGGAACUGAGACACGGGCCAGACUCCUACGGGAGGCAGCAGUAGGGAAUCUUCCGAAAUGGGCGAAAGCCUGACGGAGCAACGCCGCGUGAGUGAUGAAGGUCUUCGGAUCGUAAAACUCUGUUAUCAGGGAAGAACAAAUGUGUAAGUAACUGUGCACAUCUUGACGGUACCUGAUCAGAAAGCCACGGCUAACUACGUG
rnacentral:rRNA from 1 species